rnacentral:rRNA from 1 species
AGUGAACGCUGGCGGUAGGCCUAACACAUGCAAGUCGAACGGCAGCACAGUAAGAGCUUGCUCUUACGGGUGGCGAGUGGCGGACGAGUGAGGAAUACAUCGGAAUCUACUUUUUCGUGGGGGAUAACGUAGGGAAACUUACGCUAAUACCGCAUACGACCUACGGGUGAAAGCAGGGGAUCUUCGGACCUUGCGCGAUUGAAUGAGCCGAUGUCGGAUUAGCUAGUUGGCGGGGUAAAGGCCCACCAAGGCGACGAUCCGUAGCUGGUCUGAGAGGAUGAUCAGCCACACUGGAACUGAGACACGGUCCAGACUCCUACGGGAGGCAGCAGUGGGGAAUAUUGGACAAUGGGCGCAAGCCUGAUCCAGCCAUACCGCGUGAGUGACGAAGGUCUUCGGAUCGUAAAACUCUGUUAUUAGGGAAGAACAAAUGUGUAAGUAACUAUGCACGUCUUGACGGUACCUAAUCAGAAAGCCACGGCUAACUACGUG